UACGAGGGGGGCAAGCGUUGUUCGGAAUUAUUGGGCGUAAAGGGCGCGUAGGCGGUGCGGUAAGUCACCUGUGAAAACUCUGGGCUCAACUCAGAGCCUGCAGGCGAAACUGCCGUGCUUGAGUGUGGGAGAGGUGCGUGGAAUUCCCGGUGUAGCGGUGAAAUGCGUAGAUAUCAGGAGGAACACCCGUGGCGAAGGCGGCUCUCUGGGACGGUACUGACGCUGAGACGCGAAAGCGUGGGGAGCGAACAGG
rnacentral:rRNA from 1 species